rnacentral:sRNA from 1 species
GUCCUCGAUCUGCUGCGGGCAGAUGAAGUGGAUGUGGCUGUCGAACCCGCCCGCGGUGAGGAUGCGGCCCUCGCCCGCGAUGGCCUCGGUGCCGGGGCCAACGAUGAUAUCCACGCCGGGUUGCGUGUCGGGGUUGCCCGCCUUGCCGAUGGCGUGGAUGCGCCCGUCCUUGAGGCCCACAUCCGCCUUGUAGAUGCCCGUGUGGUCCAGGAUCAGCGCGUUGGUGAUCACCGUGUCCACGGCGCCCGCCGCGCGGGUGGUCUGGGCCUGGCCCAUGCCGUCGCGGAU